rnacentral:rRNA from 1 species
GUCGAGCGGACAGAAGGGAGCUUGCUCCCGGAUGUUAGCGGCGGACGGGUGAGUAACACGUGGGUAACCUGCCUGUAAGACUGGGAUAACUCCGGGAAACCGGAGCUAAUACCGGAUAGUUCCUUGAACCGCAUGGUUCAAGGAUGAAAGACGGUUUCGGCUGUCACUUACAGAUGGACCCGCGGCGCAUUAGCUAGUUGGUGAGGUAACGGCUCACCAAGGCGACGAUGCGUAGCCGACCUGAGAGGGUGAUCGGCCACACUGGGACUGAGACACGGCCCAGACUCCUACGGGAGGCAGCAGUAGGGAAUCUUCCGCAAUGGACGAAAGUCUGACGGAGCAACGCCGCGUGAGUGAUGAAGGUUUUCGGAUCGUAAAGCUCUGUUGUUAGGGAAGAACAAGUGCAAGAGUAACUGCUUGCACCUUGACGGUACCUAACCAGAAAGCCACGGCUAACUACGUGCCAGCAGCCGCGGUAAUACGUAGGUGGCAAGCGUUGUCCGGAAUUAUUGGGCGUAAAGGGCUCGCAGGCGGUUUCUUAAGUCUGAUGUGAAAGCCCCCGGCUCAACCGGGGAGGGUCAUUGGAAACUGGGAAACUUGAGUGCAGAAGAGGAGAGUGGAAUUCCACGUGUAGCGGUGAAAUGCGUAGAGAUGUGGAGGAACACCAGUGGCGAAGGCGACUCUCUGGUCUGUAACUGACGCUGAGGAGCGAAAGCGUGGGGAGCGAACAGGAUUAGAUACCCUGGUAGUCCACGCCGUAAACGAUGAGUGCUAAGUGUUACGGGGUUUCCGCCCCUUAGUGCUGCAGCUAACGCAUUAAGCACUCCGCCUGGGGAGUACGGUCGCAAGACUGAAACUCAAAGGAAUUGACGGGGGCCCGCACAAGCGGUGGAGCAUGUGGUUUAAUUCGAAGCAACGCGAAGAACCUUACCAGGUCUUGACAUCCUCUGACAACCCUAGAGAUAGGGCUUUCCCUUCGGGGACAGAGUGACAGGUGGUGCAUGGUUGUCGUCAGCUCGUGUCGUGAGAUGUUGGGUUAAGUCCCGCAACGAGCGCAACCCUUGAUCUUAGUUGCCAGCAUUCAGUUGGGCACUCUAAGGUGACUGCCGGUGACAAACCGGAGGAAGGUGGGGAUGACGUCAAAUCAUCAUGCCCCUUAUGACCUGGGCUACACACGUGCUACAAUGGACAGAACAAAGGGCUGCGAGACCGCAAGGUUUAGCCAAUCCCACAAAUCUGUUCUCAGUUCGGAUCGCAGUCUGCAACUCGACUGCGUGAAGCUGGAAUCGCUAGUAAUCGCG